CUAGACUUGACGUCAGCUAAGGCUGUGAGGUUAAACGAUGGAUACUUAUCAUCUCUAGACACCCGUGCCAAAAAAAAUUCCUGGUGGAGCAAGAAGUCACUAGAUUCUUCCAAUGAUUACCAAAGUCUUCUUCAAGACUUGAAAAGCUAUGAUACAAGCGAAUUCAUCGAUUCCAAGGAUACAAUAAUCUCCCUCUUCAGUUGUUAUGUGCAGAUAUGCGCCCCAAAGUUCGUCAGGUGCGCGCAAGAUUAUCCCGACAUCGAGGGGUUCGAGGGCUGCAAGGGCGAACAUCUGACCUGCUCCAAAUCUUGCUUAAACCGAUCCAGCCUCGUCUGACUGACGUCAUAGGGCGACGUCACGUCACAUGUGAUACGCUGACCGUGUGGACGUCAUGGGCAGCACACACACACACACACACCACAUUCCAUGACGUCACACCGUUGUGAUGUUCGAUGUCCCCACUAAGAUUGGCUUUCAAAAGAGAAUUAAAAUUUAAGAAAAAAAAAGUUGUUCCAAUGUAUAUUUCUUUUUCCCACUCUACGUCUCAAACACUACACUAUUGUUUUAGUUUUUUGUUGAAUAGCUGAUUUAUAAAUCUAAUAGCGUAAACAUUUUUUUAAAACUGCAACAAUAAAUAUAAAAGGAAUGGAAAAAAAUAAAUAUAGAACA